rnacentral:ncRNA from 1 species
UCACUAGCUAAGGCCCCUAAAUGAUCGCUUAGUGAUAAAGGAGGUAGGGAUGCAAAGAUAGCCUGGAGGUUUGCCUAGAAGCAGGCACCUUUGAAAGAGCGUGUCAUAGCUCAUUGAUUGAACCCUCUUGCACCGAAGAUGAAUGGGGCUAAGAGAUAUGUCGAAGCUCUGG